rnacentral:tRNA from 1 species
CAUGUGAUAGUUUAGUCAGAAUUUUGGCCUUGGGUGCCGGCGGCGGGGGUGAAAAUCCUUCUCACAUGA